AUCAAGUCUUCAAAAAAGAAUAUAUACGAUUGCAUUGCAUAUACUAACAGAUGCGAUCAUACCAGCACUAAUGCACCGGAUCCCAUCAGAACUCCGCAGUUAAGCGUGCUUGGGCGAGAGUAGUACUAGGAUGGGUGACCUCCCGGGAAGUCCUCGUGUUGCAUCCCUUUUUUUUUUUUAAUUUGUUUUUUUUUGGUUAAAACUUUAUGACUCCAUAACUUAUACACAG
rnacentral:rRNA from 1 species